rnacentral:rRNA from 1 species
GCUUGCUAAGGCUGAUGGCGACCGGCGCACGGGUGAGUAACACGUAUCCAACCUGCCGUCUACUCUUGGCCAGCCUUCUGAAAGGAAGAUUAAUCCAGGAUGGCAUCAUGAGUUCACAUGUCCGCAUGAUUAAAGGUAUUUUCCGGUAGACGAUGGGGAUGCGUUCCAUUAGAUAGUAGGCGGGGUAACGGCCCACCUAGUCAACGAUGGAUAGGGGUUCUGAGAGGAAGGUCCCCCACAUUGGAACUGAGACACGGUCCAAACUCCUACGGGAGGCAGCAGUGAGGAAUAUUGGUCAAUGGGCGAUGGCCUGAACCAGCCAAGUAGCGUGAAGGAUGACUGCCCUAUGGGUUGUAAACUUCUUUUAUAAAGGAAUAAAGUCGGGUAUGCAUACCCGUUUGCAUGUACUUUAUGAAUAAGGAUCGGCUAACUCCGUGCCAGCAGCCGCGGUAAUACGGAGGAUCCGAGCGUUAUCCGGAUUUAUUGGGUUUAAAGGGAGCGUAGAUGGAUGUUUAAGUCAGUUGUGAAAGUUUGCGGCUCAACCGUAAAAUUGCAGUUGAUACUGGAUGUCUUGAGUGCAGUUGAGGCAGGCGGAAUUCGUGGUGUAGCGGUGAAAUGCUUAGAUAUCACGAAGAACUCCGAUUGCGAAGGCAGCCUGCUAAGCUGCAACUGACAUUGAGGCUCGAAAGUGUGGGUAUCAAACAGG